CCACGGGAGGCAGCAGUAGGGAAUCUUCGGCAAUGGACGAAAGUCUGACCGAGCAACGCCGCGUGAGUGAAGAAGGUUUUCGGAUCGUAAAACUCUGUUGUUAGAGAAGAACAAGGAUGAGAGUAACUGUUCAUCCCUUGACGGUAUCUAACCAGAAAGCCACGGCUAACUACGUGCCAGCAGCCGCGGUAAUACGUAGGUGGCAAGCGUUGUCCGGAUUUAUUGGGCGUAAAGCGAGCGCAGGCGGUUUCUUAAGUCUGAUGUGAAAGCCCCCGGCUCAACCGGGGAGGGUCAUUGGAAACUGGGAGACUUGAGUGCAGAAGAGGAGAGUGGAAUUCCAUGUGUAGCGGUGAAAUGCGUAGAUAUAUGGAGGAACACCAGUGGCGAAGGCGGCUCUCUGGUCUGUAACUGACGCUGAGGCUCGAAAGCGUGGGGAGCAAACAGGAUUAGAUACCCCGGUAGUC
rnacentral:rRNA from 1 species